rnacentral:rRNA from 1 species
GAUGAACGCUGGCGGCGUGCCUAAUACAUGCAAGUCGAGCGAAUGGAUUAAGAGCUUGCUCUUAUGAAGUUAGCGGCGGACGGGUGAGUAACACGUGGGUAACCUGCCCAUAAGACUGGGAUAACUCCGGGAAACCGGGGCUAAUACCGGAUAACAUUUUGAACCGCAUGGUUCGAAAUUGAAAGGCGGCUUCGGCUGUCACUUAUGGAUGGACCCGCGUCGCAUUAGCUAGUUGGUGAGGUAACGGCUCACCAAGGCAACGACGCGUAGCCGACCUGAGAGGGUGAUCGGCCACACUGGGACUGAGACACGGCCCAGACUCCUACGGGAGGCAGCAGUAGGAAAUCUUCCGCAAUGGACGAAAGUCCGACGGAGCAACGCCGCGUGAGUGAUGAAGGCUUUCGGGUCGUAAAACUCUGUUGUUAGGGAAGAACAAGUGCUAGUUGAAUAAGCUGGCACCUUGACGGUACCUAACCAGAAAGCCACGGCUAACUACGUGCCAGCAGCCGCAGUAA